UUCUGUUCAUUAAAAAUUUAGCUUUACCACAUUUCUUGCAGCUUUAGAAUAAUUCAAAGCAUACUGCAGCAGAAC
rnacentral:lncRNA from 1 species